rnacentral:rRNA from 1 species
UACGGAGGGUGCGAGCGUUGUCCGGAAUCACUGGGCGUAAAGGGCGCGUAGGCGGCCUGGUAAGUAGGGGGUGAAAUCCUGCGGCUUAACCGCAGGGCUGCCUUCUAAACUGUCAGGCUCGACCACAGUAGAGGCAGGUGGAAUUCCCGGUGUAGCGGUGGAAUGCGUAGAGAUCGGGAAGAACAUCAGUGGCGAAGGCGGCCUGCUGGGCUGUUGCUGACGCUGAGGCGCGACAGCGUGGGGAGCAAACAGG